GAUGAACUACUUCCCAGAUGGCCCAGAUCUUGCACAAGCCUGCAAGCAAAAUUCAGCUCCACUGAUUAGUAUGAUGAAUACUUGUCAUGAAGCAGCUGGUAACCGAUGGCCAAACUUCAUAAGUAUUGAUUUUUACAAGGUAUUUAUAGUUUAUGAAAGUUAUUUUCAACAUAUAUUGGUGGUCGAUUCAAAAACAAUUGGUACCUAAUGAGAUUAUUAGUAAUUUAUCUAUAUUUGCAGAGGAGUGAUGGAGGGGGAGCCCCUGCUGCUGUAGAUAUGGCAAAUGGACAGCUCGUUUGUGGGUGUGAAAACAUCGGAUAUUGCAAGGUCUGUAAGAAUAAAUAAAUUUAAAUUGAAGUGUUUCUGUUUUGAAUUUUAUUCAAGGAUGUUAACAAGUUGUGGUAGUUGGGAAUCUAGUAAAGAUAAAUUCUUUAAUGAUCUUCUAAAUUACCCCUGUAUUGGAGCAUUAACUAAGAUGAAUUAAUAUUGAUAUCUUGAAACUGUAAUGUAAAGGCAAACAUGACUGUCGGAGCAUGUAUCAAAGUACCAGAGGCUGGUGAUACUCCGGUAACAGCGGCAGGGGAAAAAACCAGUUUUGCUAACGUGGAUUGCAGACCAAUCAAAUUGCAGUGGUUAUUUGGGGUACUUUUCAUGGCCAUUACCUUGUUUUCAUGAAUAUGGAUCCUUACCAUGUGCACUAAUUUCGGGUUAUUCCACUUGAAACAAGUAUCAAAUGACAUCUUACCAAGUUAUAGGUAUUGUUUGUAGUGUUACCAUGUGACUAUGGGGAAAAAAAAGAAAAAAACCUUAGUAUGAGUUGUCAUUCUAGCUUUUACUUAUGUGAAAUUGUGAAUAGCAGAUGCGCCAGGUUUGAUUGCAUUUUAAUGUAUUUAACAUCCCUUCUCCCACAUCUUUGUAUUAAGUGGUCUUUUGAAUAGUUAUCCUCUAAUAGUUUAGACUCAUAUUUAUAUCUUAACUAUUCAGAGGAUCACUUAAUACAAAGAGGUGGGCUCUUAAGAUGCCUUAAGAGAUGGACUGUUAAGAUGGUUUACGAAGUGGACUUUUAAGAUGCAUUAAGAUGUAAUCAAACACCAAUAGUUGUAUGUGAUGUUGGUUCUUGCAACUUCUAUGCAAAUUGCAGUGGAAGUUAGAAAAAACUCAAAAAAGUGUUAUUUCUUGGACAAUUGAUAACCACCUGCAAUAGAUUGUUGGUGGCAAGUGAUUUGUCUAAUGUGGUUUGAAUACCUGAGAAUAAAUGAAGUCAUGUUUAUGUUCAUUUUUUUGAAAAUACUUUGAACUUUUUUGGAAAUAUUUGAUAAUUGUAAAGAUUUGUUAAAAAUAUAUAUUGUAUAUUUAAUUUUUAAUAACAAAAAUAUAAUGUAUAAGUAUAAUUUCUGCAUGUCUCAAAACUUAAUAUAGUUUCAGCAUGUCUCAAAAGUUACUUAGCAGUACCGUGGAGUGGAAAAAUUGUCGCUUAACAUUGGAGUCAGUUAGGGGCCGUCCUGGCAGCCCACACAAGAAGAUAAACGUCUAUUGUGAUAAAUCUUGCAAAUUUAUAGAAGCUUUCAUAAGGUAAUUUUUUUGGAUAACUUACCAACCCUCUUGAACAAAUGACAAAUUUAAAAAAGUAGUCAAGUACAGUACAUACGAGAGCAGAUCUUCUGUUCCUAAAUUUCCUAUCCUCCUUGUGUUCCCCCACUUAAAUUUUGACACAUGUCUUUUUAUUUAAUUUUAGAAUUAAUUAAUAUUAAGUAAGAGAUUAGGUGUCAAAAUUUAAGUAGAGGGACACAAGAGGACAAAAAAAAUUAGAGACAGGAUCUGCUCUCCGGUACAUACAUCCACUCUAAUUACUCAUAUUUGAAUGCAUAUAUGGGUCUAAAAGAGUUAGGCCUGAUCCAUGGAUUGAAUCCACAUCAUACUAUUGGGCUUGGACCUACUUAUUUAGAAUAAAUUGUCCCGACUUCAUGCAAGAAUGCAUGUAAUAUAAGUGCCAAUUUGCAAAGCCUAAAACCAUGUGGACUACAAGAUUUAGUUGGUAUAAUUCGCUAAUAAGAAGAGUCUUAAUCAUUUAAAUUAAAGAAAGUAACCAUGUCAGAAGAAACAGAAGGCGCACCGCUCAAGACACCGUCAUUCGUCUAAAUUUAGAGAGUCGAGGUUAAUGAUACAUUAACCUGCACCAAGCUCAACCCAAAUCCUUCUAAACAAAAACAAGCGCUCUGAUCUAAAACUCAUUUGUUGCUUCAUUAAACUAAUUAAUGCACUAAUAAGAUGUCUCUAGCACGUUGUUUAGG
rnacentral:lncRNA from 1 species